UUUUCCAGUUGAAAAAAAUCCUAAGAGAGAAAAAUCUGGCAAAAGGUGAAAUGAAUAUCUGUAAUUUCUAGAAAUACACAAUUUUAUGGAAAUUUUUCUUAGCAUAAAACUACUAAGAUGGAUGAGUUUCAAAUCUAGCUCUACCAGUCAUUUGCUGUGUGACCCUGAGCUGGUUGCUUAACUUCUCAAGAUGGAAAUGAUAAUCGUCCAUACCUCCAGCAAUAUGAGACUUAAACGAGGUAAGGCCUUGCACUAGAACAUACCGUGCCAUUCAGUUUUGCGAGAUGAAAAUGUUCUAGAGAUCAGUUGCACUACAAUAGGAAUAUAUUUAAUAUUAGUCAACUGUACACUUAAGAAUGAUAAAUUUAUGCCAUGUAUUUUUAUCCCAAUCUAAGAAACUGAAUUGCAAAAUGUAUAUGCAUAGGUACGUACUAAGUGCUUAAUAAGCAUACCGUACCUAUCAUUAUGCCUCUUACUUUGUUUUCAGGUGGGCUCACAUCCUUCUCAUUCAUUCAUUCCAUGAGCAAGGAGCAAGUGUGGCAAGCCCGGCCCUGAGUUAGGCUAGGGAUGUCCAGAGAAGAACAUCACUGCAGACCUCAAGACUGACAGCCCUAGAAGGGGAGGUGGGGGGUAAGCAGUUGCCACUUAGGGUGGUGAGGGCCAUGGCAGAGAUGGGACCAACAGGAUGGGAGGAAACUCGUGUGUGCUUCUCCAGAGGAGAGCCCCGGGGUGGAGGGAGUGGAGAGAGAAGGAAACUGUUGCAGCAGAAGGUUUGCUGCAGUGUUUAGGGCUGAGCCAAGGCUUGGGGGACACAGUGGAGGCAGCAGUCAGGGAUGACACCCCCUAGAUUCUCUGACUUUGCCAUGAGGAUAGGGAUCUGCCUCUGCCACUGAGACAGGUUUAAAACAAAAAACAAAAAAAACAAAAAAACAACCCUAUGCUUUAAACAGAGCAGUGGAUGUACGAGUAGUAAAGGGCACAGCCAAGGAAGACCUGUCCCCAGCAACUGAAAACCACCAGCUUUCCUUUCAGGAAAGCCAGGGCCAUGGAUGAGCCGUGGACAUCUGUGGUCCUUGUGCGUGAGAAGGGGUGGUACUGAUGGCUCACUCAUCCCCAAGGCCCUGGCCUUCACACCAAGGGGGACCUGUUUGGGAUAGCAUUCCCAUCAACUUGGCAUUCACCAACCGGCUCAGCCCCGUGCACCUCCCUCUGACCCACUGCCACCCACAUGGCUGGAGAUAUGAGGGGGAGUGACAGGCCAUCCUCUCACUACCCAUAUGAACACCGGAGUUAAUCUGUAUCCGGAUUAUUAUCUCCCGAUGCAACAAAUUAUUUUGUGCAUUUGCUUUAUUGUAGACUCUUUGUUAUAAUAAAAUUAGUUCUAUUCCACAUUAUUGGUUCAUAAUUAGAAUUACAUGAAAAAAUAAAAAACCCAGAUACCAUCUCUCUAAGCCUUCUCUGGCUGAGCAAUUGAACUGACUGCACAAUUUCUUCUCUCUCUCUCUCCUCCAGUUUCAUUUUCAGGUUAAUUUCAAAGCCCUUAAAAUGUCUUUAAAGAAUAAGACCUAUUUCAACUGGAUUUUUCUAUAGCCCAUAGGUAGGGUGACAAAUUCGGCAUCCAAACUGGGACAAUGGUGUGAGGGAGAGUCAGGCUAUUAAUUAUUAAGCCAGGACAAUAGCAUAAGCUAGAAAGGCUGCAGGCAAAUAGCCACAGGUGGUCAUCCUAUUUUUAGGGGCAAGCUGACCCUCUCCCGCAGUCAUGGGUUAGUCCUGCUAGGCAAUGCUACUUUUCCU
rnacentral:lncRNA from 1 species